rnacentral:rRNA from 1 species
GAUGAACGCUGGCGGCGUGCCUAAUACAUGCAAGUCGAACGCUUCACUUCGGUGAAGAGUGGCGAACGGGUGAGUAAUACAUAAGUAACCUGGCAUCUACAGGGGGAUAACUGAUGGAAACGUCAGCUAAGACCGCAUAGGUGUAGAGAUCGCAUGAACUCUAUAUGAAAAGUGCUACGGGACUGGUAGAUGAUGGACUUAUGGCGCAUUAGCUGGUUGGUAGGGUAACGGCCUACCAAGGCGACGAUGCGUAGCCGACCUGAGAGGGUGACCGGCCACACUGGGACUGAGACACGGCCCAGACUCCUACGGGAGGCAGCAGUAGGGAAUUUUCGGCAAUGGGGGAAACCCUGACCGGGCAACGCCGCGUGAAGGAAGAAGUAAUUCGUUAUGUAAACUUCUGUCAUAGAGGAAGAACGGUGGAUAUAGGGAAUGAUAUCCAAGUGACGGUACUCUAUAAGAAAGCCACGGCUAACUACGUGCCAGCCGCCGCAGUAA